GUAGGGAAUUUUCGGCAAUGGGGGAAACCCUGACCGAGCAACGCCGCGUGAAGGAAGAAGUAAUUCGUUAUGUAAACUUCUGUCAUAGAGGAAGAACGGUGGAUAUAGGGAAUGAUAUCCAAGUGACGGUACUCUAUAAGAAAGCCACGGCUAACUACGUGCCAGCAGCCGCGGUAAUACGUAGGUGGCGAGCGUUAUCCGGAAUUAUUGGGCGUAAAGAGGGAGCAGGCGGCACUAAGGGUCUGUGGUGAAAGAUCGAAGCUUAACUUCGGUAAGCCAUGGAAACCGUAGAGCUAGAGUGUGUGAGAGGAUCGUGGAAUUCCAUGUGUAGCGGUGAAAUGCGUAGAUAUAUGGAGGAACACCAGUGGCGAAGGCGACGAUCUGGCGCAUAACUGACGCUCAGUCCCGAAAGCGUGGGGAGCAAAUAGGA
rnacentral:rRNA from 1 species